GGGAAGGUGGCUCAGUGGUAGAGUGCUUGCCUUGCAUGCAUGAGGCCCUGAGUGCUCUUCCUC
rnacentral:tRNA from 1 species